GCAAGUCGAGGGGUAACAGAGUAGCUUGCUAUUUGCUGACGAGUGGCGGACGGGUGAGUAAUGCUUGGGAAUUUGCCUUUGCGAGGGGGAUAACUACUGGAAACGGUAGCUAAUACCGCAUAAUGUCUACGGACCAAAGGGGGCUUUUAGCUCCUACGUGAAGAGAAGCCCAAGUGGGAUUAGCUAGUUGGUGAGGUAAAGGCUCACCAAGGCGACGAUCCCUAGCUGUUCUGAGAGGAUGAUC
rnacentral:rRNA from 1 species